GGACACUAGGUAACAACUCAAAAGUCUCUCACACACACAUACAUACGCUGAGAGCCGACGAGGACGAAGGGAUUCCGGUGAGUACUCCGACGUGUGACUGCUACCAAUCUAAGCCUUGAGCAUGUCGGUGGUCGAUUGUCCGACCGUGCAUACUUAGACGGCGGCGAGCUUAUUGGCCGGAAACGAAGGGAUUCCGGUGAGUACUCCGACGUGUGACUGCUACCAAUCUAAGCCUUGAGCAUGUCGGUGGUCGAUUGUCCGACCGUGCAUCGAUGAUGGUUCAGUGAAGAAGUUAGACGGCGGCGAGCUUAUUGGCCGGAAACGAGAACGGUGACAUGAAGACGGGUUCCAAUCACAUCAAUCUGAUAAUAAUUCGGGUGUGCAAGACUCCUCAUCUAUGAUCUUAAAUACGACUGAAAACGAUGCAUCAAUUUGGGUCCGAAAAAAGCACAACUGCAAAGAAACUUAUGAUUAAGCUGGUUAAAUAUAUGUGGAUGUAGGGUUUUGGUUAUAUGGAUUGGAUUAUCAACAAUAAUUUUGGAGAUCUUUGCUUAAUUAAUUUGAGUAGCGAUUUUUAGGAGUUUUGUAGAUAACAUUUUCGUUAUUGGGUUUAGGGUGUUUGUAUU
rnacentral:lncRNA from 1 species